CUGGCAAGUCAGGUGAUAGCUCUGCUCCGAUAUUCGUCGGGGCAGGGAGGAAAGUCCGGACACCCCUGUUUGCCGUAUAGGCAGACAGCAGCGUGAUAGCGGUCCCGACGCCCAAAAGGGUGCGGGACUCCGACUUCUUUAUUUAAAAAAUAGAGCGUCGGAGCUAACAGCCGUCGGGCGUAAGCUUAGAGGUGCGAGCAGUGACGUUUCGAUUCGAAAGAAUCGGAAAACCCUUCGGGGUUAAUCUUCGAAAUAGUUCGGGGCUUGCCCUGAGCGAAGUCGAAGGGUGAAACGGCUAAAUCCUUAUCGGGUGCAAAGUCGUACCAUCGCGCGGCGAAGCCACGCGAUAAUUCAGAAUUACAAAUUAAGAAUUCAGAAUUUAAUAGAUUGAUUCUUAAUUCUGCAUUCUAAAUUUUGAAUUAUCACGCGACUUCGUCGCGUGAUUGGGGUGCUGCUAGAGCCCGCGAGUAAUCGCGGGCCCAGAUGAAUUAUCACCGAAUACAGAAUCCGGCUUAUGACUUGCCAGUUCC
rnacentral:RNase_P_RNA from 2 species